CUGAGAGUAUCCCAGGGGUCCCUGUCCCUGCUAGACAUGGAGCUCUCCAAUGGGCUGGAAUUGGGUGAUAAAAGUGGUGCUCCAAGUGCCAAAGAAGUGUGGGAUUGGGAUUAAGAAAUGAGCAGUGAGGGUCCAAUUGGCUGUUUCCUCUUGACUGUAAUGGUGAGAGCUGCAGGAGUGCCAGGUGUGUGUUCCAGUCCCCAGCAUUUGGUUUGCACAUGUCCUGGUCAGACACAGGUCCAACUUCCUCAGUCCUAAACAAAAUAGAGGGAGAAUGAAGGACUGGCAGUGUUAAGGUGAUUGGUGUGACAGGGGUUAAACUGGAAAAACACUGGGUAAUUCCUCAGUCUGUCUAUUUGCAUACUCCCAUAAACCUCUGCUAGGAGGUGGUUGAUUGGAAAAGUUGAGGCAGAAAUGAAAUUUAAAACUGGGGCUAUUGGAACUGUAAUUGCUGAAACUAAAUGUGUCCAAGCAGCAGCUCUUGUUGUGCAGGGAAUAACUCCUGUCAGCAGCAAGGUCCCAACUGAAGUGGCAGCUGCAGUUGUUCCUGUGGUGUGGGCCAGUGGAAUUGCAGGAGAGUGGAAGAGGGCAGAACCUGUAGGUAUUACCCCUAAUGUGGGAUCUCUCCUGGUAAGGUCAAGCCAGUAUCCUUUAAAAUCAGAAUGCCAGACUGGAUUGGUUGCAGGAACAGCUGAAUUUGCUCCUCCUGGUUUGCCUGUAGAAGGUGAAUGCCAGAACCUGCCAAGAAAACCAAUGGCCAAGGGGAUUGAUUAGUGCAGGACCUGAGAGAACCCCCUGAAAUGACAACCUGGAGUAGUUUCCAGGAUUAGAUUGCAAAGAUGGCCUUUGCUGCAUCUCCUUGAGCAAGGAAAGCCAAGAAACCUUUGCUUUUGCAGGAGAAAAUGGGGAAAGCGGGAAGGAAGAAGAGAAACCCUGUGACUCCUCCCUGAGCCCCAGAGAGCCCCUGAACUGCCUUCCUGGGAAUGGUGGGACGGGCUGGACUCUGGAUUGCUCCCUCUGCAUGUGUGGAACUGCAGGAACUCCUGGUGCCGCCUGGGCCGAUGGAUUGGACGCCCCAGCCCCUCCGUUCCUGCCCAGCCCCUGGGGCCGUGUCGAGUGGUGGCACUGCCAGCCCUGCAGGGGAAGUGGGAAGGGCCUUUCCAGGUCUUGUGGAUCACAUUUAUAGCAGUGCCCCCAAUUCACCUGUAAGGGCCUGGUUUUCUUCCCUGCUUCUCCUAGCUUUUCCAGGAGAUGGAAUUCCAGUGCUACAGUCUAGAUGGCUCGUGGUGCUCCCAAAAGGAGCCUUUCUGCCUUCAGGUUAAGUUGUGUUGCCCCUGGAGCUGUUGGGAGAAGCAGAGGGUUGUCAGGGAGAGGCCUGGAAUGAUGUUGCUGUGGCACAGAUGUUGCUCCCUGGCAGGUUCUUGGGUUGGAUUUCUUGGCUGCCACUUGGCAAGGCCUGGAAGGGCCUCAGUUGUGUAGGGAACCAAACCUGGAAUGGGAAAGCAAAGGGGGGGAGGUUCUGGUUUCAGAAAGGAUCAUUGCCUUCUCUUUCUGAAGGGACAGUGACCUGGUCCACCUGUGUCAAGAAGAGCAAGUGGGCUGUGAAGGUUUGGAGCAGUCUGGAAGGUUCCUCGUGCCCAAAGGAUCCUGGAAGUGCAGCUCUGGAAGAGUCAGGAAUAAUGACAAGUGCCCCAGUUCUCGUGAAACUCAGAUGUGUAAAACAUUUAUGGAGCUAGAAUUCCACAGCAUUGAGCUUUUGGGUCCCAAAUAAUAGUGGAGGGAGAGGCAGAAAAUCCCCCUGCUACUGGGGCUGAACUGUCUGCAGUGAGGGGGCAGGACUUGGCCCUGAUGCCUGAGUGCUCUCCAGCCCCCCAGGAUCGAUCCCAACUGUCAGCCCCUGGCUCCAUCCCUUGAGAAGAUGGUGUUCCUGCAAGCCCAGCUGCUGUGCUGGUGGUCCUGGGGGCACCUCCUGCCCGGGCCUGCUGUGACUGUGGUUGUGUUGCAGCUCAAUAAAGUCCCUUUCCGUGGUGA